UACGUAGGGUGCAAGCGUUAAUCGGAAUUACUGGGCGUAAAGCGUGCGCAGGCGGUUAUGUAAGACAGUUGUGAAAUCCCCGGGCUCAACCUGGGAAUUGCGAUGAAGACUGCAAGGCUUGAAUCUGGCAGAGGGGGGUAGAAUUCCACGUGUAGCAGUGAAAUGCGUAGAGAUGUGGAGGAACACCGAUGGCGAAGGCAGCCCCCUGGGUCAAGAUUGACGCUCAUGCACGAAAGCGUGGGGAGCAAACAGG
rnacentral:rRNA from 1 species